rnacentral:rRNA from 1 species
AUUGAACGCUGGCGGCAUGCCUUACACAUACAAGUCGAACGGUAACAGGUUAAGCUGACGAGUGGCGAACGGGUGAGUAAUACAUCGGAACGUGCCCAGACGUGGGGGAUAGCUCGGCGAAAGCCGGAUUAAUACCGCAUAAGCUCUGAGGAGGAAAGCGGGGGACCGUAAGGCCUCGCGCGUUUGGAGCGGCCGAUGGCAGAUUAGGUAGUUGGUGGGGUAAAGGCUUACCAAGCCUACGAUCUGUAGCUGGUCUGAGAGGACGACCAGCCACACUGGGACUGAGACACGGCCCAGACUCCUACGGGAGGCAGCAGUGGGGAAUUUUGGACAAUGGGCGCAAGCCUGAUCCAGCAAUGCCGCGUGCAGGAUGAAGGCCUUCGGGUUGUAAACUGCUUUUGUACGGAACGAAAAGGCGCCUACUAAUACUGGGGCUCAUGACGGUACCGUAAGAAUAAGCACCGGCUAACUACGUGCCAGCAGCCGCAGUAAUAC